rnacentral:tRNA from 1 species
GCCCGCGCAGGGUAUCGGCCAGCCCGGCGCACCACGGCUGCGCGAGCAGCUCACGCGUGCCGGCGCCAUCGGUGUUCAGCCUGCCGGCGAGGGCG